rnacentral:misc_RNA from 1 species
GCAGUAACAUCCACUGAAGGAUUGGAUGCAAACGGAUCUGUAAGUGGCACCAUUCCUGCACGAAGGAAAAGAAAACCAUGGUUGGAAUCAGAGGACAUGGAGCUGAUUGCUGCUGUGCAGAAAUAUGGUGAAGGGAAUUGGGCAAAUAUCUUACGGAGUGAAUUCAAGUGGGAUAGAACAGCUUCACAGCUAUCUCAGAGGUGGGCCAUCAUCCGUAAAAGGCGACUUGGCAACUGGAAUCUGGGAGGUAACACAAGUGGUGUGCAAAUAACUGAGGCACAGCGCGCAGCACUUCAUGCAAUGAAUUUAGCCCUUGAUNUAAGAAUACAUUUACAAAUAACUCUGGUGAAACUUCAUCUUCCCAACUCCAGUCUCAACGCCCCUUUGCAACGAAAUCAUCUUCUGUGGGACCACUGGGUUCUGCUGCUAAUUCUCAAGUCGCUGUGAACAAAACAGUGAAGCCUGAUUUUAGUUCAAAUACAGUAAGAGCUGCUGCAGUUGCUGCUGGGGCCCGUAUUACUACUCAAUCAGAUGCUGCUUCAUUGCACAAGGCUACUCAGGCAAAGAGUGCUGUUCAUAUUAUGCCAGCAGCUGGUUCUUCAAUAUCAUCCAUGGCUGGUGGUGCAUCCAGCCACUUUGAGGCUCACCCUAAUGUUCAUUUUGAUGACCUGGCAGCUGUAUCAUUUCCCACCCAUCCAGCUGUCUCAUCCAAUGGCCAACACCUUGCUUUGGAGGCAGCUUCCUCACCAACCACUCAGCCUACUCCAAUUUCUAGUACGGCCAUGAACAUGUCAUCUGAACAGGCUCAUGCUGAACUUCAGUCAAAGCAAGAUGUGACAAAAGAGCAAGUCAAAGAACAUGGAGGCCUUGUCUGUGGAAAUGCUCCACGUGAGCAAGUUCAAGAAAGAAAAGCAGCCUUGCCAAACCAAGAAGCAGAAUUUAAAACUCAAGUAGCUGUAGCCCAGAGUUCUAAUGCUUCACGGAAAGUGGAAAUGGGUGAAAGUGACAUGGUGGAUGUCCCUGGCAACCAGGCUGAAGGGAGUCAAAAUUCAAAUGGUGAUAAGAGCACGUAUCUAGCGGUUGGAAAGGAUGAAUAUCAAUCUGCAGUUCAGGAGAAUUGUGGCAAUCAAAGCACGAGUGGCAAACAAGCUGAUCUGCGAAGCAUGGCAACUGAUGAAUGCAGCAAAAAAGUUGAAGCUGUAAGCAAAGCAGAACCUUGCAAUGUGAUUACAGAGGGAGGUCUUGUAUAAAGCAGCCGGGAAUUUCUUUCUUUUUUCCUUUUCAGGGCAAUCUUCCAUUUGCAUUUUAAUUGACUUCAGAAAUUAGUUAGGGC